GGUAGGUGGAAGCUUUCGAUAGAGGUAGAAAUAUCUUUAGGAAGGUCUGAGAGUAGCCAAGCACAGAUUGAAAUGAUCAAAGGGAAACCUUACGUGGCAGCUGACCAGAAAUAGUUCCUGUUCUAGCAACAGUUGAGAUGGCUGCUGCUAGCCGGAUAGUCAAAUCGAAAGGUGGGCCAAUGUGUACGCCCAUAACUUAAUUCAGACUACUCUCCACAUACC
rfam:Nematocida sp. 1 ERTm2 unplaced genomic scaffold supercont1.4, whole genome shotgun sequence.